rnacentral:tRNA from 1 species
UCUAAAAUGACAGAUAGAUGUGUAGGAUUUAAGCUCCUAUAAGGAAGAUAUAUUCAUCUUCUUUUAGAA